GACGAACGCUGGCGGCGUGCUUAACACAUGCAAGUCGAACGGAAAGGCGCUGCUUUUGUGGGGUGCUCGAGUGGCGAACGGGUGAGUAACACGUGAGUAACCUGCCCUUGACUUUGGGAUAACUUCAGGAAACUGGGGCUAAUACCGGAUAGGAGCUCCUGAUGCAUGGUGGGGGUUGGAAAGAUUCGGCGGUUGGGGAUGGACUCGCGGCUUAUCAGCUUGUUGGUGGGGUAGUGGCUGACCAAGGCUUUGAAGGGUAGCCGGCCUGGGAGGGUGACCGGCCACAUUGCGACUGCGAUACGGCCCAGACUCCAACGGGAGGCAGCAGUGGGAAAUAUUGCACAAUGGGCGGAAGCCUGAUGCAGCAACGCCGCGUGCGGGAUGACGGCCUUCUGGUUGUAAACCGCUUUCGCCUGUGCCGAAGCGUGAGUGACGGUAAUUGGUCAAGAAGCACCGGCUAACUACGUG
rnacentral:rRNA from 1 species